CUAGCCAAGCCUAGCGCCGCACCCAUCCCUCUGCCGUUUGCCUUGUCCCAUCGCCACCCACCGUGCCUAGCCUCAUCAACACCUGCAAAAACAGAGCAGACACGCAAAAAGCAGCAACAAAUAAUAGAAAUAUAGAAAUAGAUGAGAUAUAAAAGCAAAAAAAUAUGAUCUUUGUAACAACAACAACAACUGAAAUAAAAAACAAAAAAAGGUUGACUCCAUUUUCUUUCUCUGUUCUUACAUUGCUAUUUUAUUUAUUUCUAUUUUAUUUUAUUUUAUUUUUUGUUUGUUUGAUUCCUUCUUUAUAACAAAACGAAAAGGAAAAGAAAGGGGAUACUCACCGGUCUCGAAAGCCCGUCGCCGGAGACCACCUUCGGCGUUGGAAUCGGACUAAAAGGGAGUACGAAAAACCCCUCCUUUUCCGACUUUUCGGGACUAAAAGGAUAUUUUUUUUAGAAGGGUCGAGAUCGGG
rnacentral:lncRNA from 1 species